GGGAAUUACAAAGAUGAUGGAGCUAGACUGUUCAGUGGUACCAAAUGACAGAACAAGAAGUAAUGGUCUCAGGUUGCAGUGGGGGAGGUUUAAGUUGGAUAUUAGGAAAAACUAUU